CCCACCCAAAAUCGCUCUCAGCCUCUCUGACUCACCAAAAUCGUGUUCCCUCCCUUAGCUAAAAAAUUAGGUCAUUCUCCCACCCAAAAUCGCUCUCAGCCUUUCUUUCCCUCACCAUUGCUCUCAGCCUUACUCUGACUCACUAUCAAUCCCCCUCACCCUCAAUCCAGUUCACCCUUUCACCCUCGUCAAGCCUCUAUCUCACUCACUCUCGCUCUCACUCACACUCGAUACACUCUCAGUGGGCUGUCUCCGUCGACCGAGACUCACCCUCGUUCUUCUUGGUUUAAAUCUUCUGGGUUUCAUAACUCAAUUUGUUCUUAAAGACCUUUCUAUUUCUCUCCCUUCCAAUUCAAGACCCUUUUGAUUCUUCCUCACCUUUUGUCGCCACUGUUGCUCUAAAACUUUGAUGGGUUCUCUCUAAUUCCAACUCUUCUGCAUGGGGUCUUUCUGGAGCUGCUGAGCUUUUUGACUUGAGGGGGCUCAAAGUGACUUCAACCUCCGAUAUAGCAGAGAGAGAAGACUGCGUCUUCUACAGACCAACUCGUUUCCGGAAACGAAGCCCCAAUUUGAGGUUCCAACAGGUGAAACCUUGACUUUUGGUGAUGAUAGCUUUAUGAGUUUUGAGGAGACUGGUGUCAAAGAAGUUCGGAAAGCUGCAUUUGUUCUUGUUGCUGGAGGACUUGGGGAACGUCUGGGAUACAACGGAAUUAAGGUUGCUCUUCCCAGAGAGACGACCACAGGAGCGUGUUUUUUACAACAUUAUAUCGAGACAAUAUUGGCUCUUCAAGAUGCUAGCUGUCAACUCGCAGAAGUUCACUGUGUUUUUUGGACAAGCCUCUUCCUCUAUGGAAACAAGAGCAUAAGAUAUGCUUCCGAAUUCAAAUAAGAAAAGAAGAGAAGAAAGAGGAGAAUUUGGCAGCUUUAUGUAGAUUUUAUUGGUGUAAAACUUGUUAGCUUAAUUUUUUUCUCCAGGAAUUAUUACUCCAAGAUCUAAUGUGUUUAUAUCUCAUACCAUCG